ACCGUGUCAUAGCACGUAUCCAAAAUAAAUGGUUUUUAACACAUUUUAAGUAUAAAUACUGCUCUUGGAUUGAUAUUUAUACAUCAUAUACAAGUGCAUUUAUUAAACAUUGCAUCGUACACGAGGCAGGCCAACAUUUAUUUUUAAAAAUGUCUGAAGUCCGAUACGUCGCUUUAAUAUUGGUUAUAAUGAUAGUGAAUCAGACCGAUGGAUGGCUUUUGAGAAGGGGAUGGAACGCGAAAAACUGUUUCUGUAAGGCCGUGGACAACAGCAAUUAUGGUAGGAUUUUGCACGACUUUGGCUCCAUUCAGAGUUGUAGGGGUUGGCUUGGAUGUGGAUGUGGUAAUUCAGCUAUGAUAUCAUGCGGAACAGCUUGUGAGGCGAAAGUCAGAUCGUGGACCAAGAACAACUGCCCAAGUCAAUACAGGUCGACAAAGAUUCGAGCUUCUUACUCCGCUAGUGUUUGUCACACUGGACAGGGUGGACAAAUUUUAUCUUGUGGGAAAUAAAUUGCAUGACCAUGAUGCGAGAUAAAAAUAUGUGCCUAUAAA